UUUCGGCCAAAUGAUAGGAAUGCUUAGUGGCGGACUGGUGAGUAACGCGUGAGGAACCUGCCUUUCAGAGGGGGACAACAGUUGGAAACGACUGCUAAUACCGCAUGACACUUUUGGGAGACAUCUCCUGAAAGUCAAAGCUUUAUGUGCUGAAAGAUGGCCUCGCGUCUGAUUAGCUAGUUGGUGGGGUAACGGCCUACCAAGGCGACGAUCAGUAGCCGGCCUGAGAGGGUGAACGGCCACAUUGGGACUGGGAUACGGCCCAGACUCC
rnacentral:rRNA from 1 species